rnacentral:lncRNA from 1 species
AACAGGUCCGAACUCUCUGGUAAGUCAUGACAAUGGCCACUACCCUACUCCACUCUCUGCAAUGGAUUCCACGUGGCUCCACCACUCUCUGGCAAGUCACGACAAUGGCCACUACCCUUCUCCAUUCUCUGCAAUGGAUUCUGCGUGGCUCCACCACUCUCUGGCAAGUCGCGACAAUGGACACCACUCUACUCUCCGUAACAAACUCCACAUGGCCCUGAACGGCCCCUGACGCCACUACUCUCCAUAACAAACUCCGCAUGGCUCUGAACGGCC